rnacentral:rRNA from 1 species
AGCGAACGCUGGCGGCGUGCCUAACACAUGCAAGUCGAACGUGAAAGGGAGCAAUCCCAAGUAAAGUGGCGUACGGGUGAGUAACACGUAGGUAAUCUACCCCAGAAUCUGGAAUAACCGGCCGAAAGGCUGGCUAAUACCGGAUAGAGCGACGGAAUCCGUAAUUGGGUUUUUCGGGAAAGGGAGCCUGUAAAAAGGCCUUCGUUCUGGGAUGAGCCUGCGUCCCAUCAGCUAGUUGGUGAGGUAAAAGCUUACCAAGGCAAUGACGGGUAGCUGGUCUGAGAGGACGAUCAGCCACACUGGAACUGACACACGGUCCAGACUCCUACGGGAGGCAGCAGUGGGGAAUCUUGCGCAAUGGACGAAAGUCUGACGCAGCAACGCCGCGUGAGUGAAGAAGGCCUUCGGGUUGUAAAGCUCUGUCGAGUGGGACGAAAAUGCUUGGAGUUCACAGCUCCAGGAACUGACGGUACCACUAAAGGAAGCACCGGCUAACUCCGUG